rnacentral:rRNA from 1 species
AUUGAACGCUGGCGGCAGGCCUAACACAUGCAAGUCGAGCGGAGCGGCGGACGGGUGAGUAUUGCCUAGGAAUCUGCCUGGUACUGAGGGAUAACGUUCGGUACCGGGCGCUAAUACUGCUUCCUAUCAGAUGAGCCUAGGUGGGAUUAGCUAGUUGGUGGGGUAAAGGCUUACGAAGGCGACGACCCGUAACUGGUCUGAGAGGAUGAUCAGUCACACUGGAACUGAGACACGGUCCAGACUCCUACGGGAGGCAGCAGUGGGGAAUAUUGGACAAUGGGCGAAAGCCUGAUGCAGCCAUGCCGCGUGUGUGAAGAAGGUCUUCGGGUUGUAAAGUACUUUAAGUUGGGAGGCGUUACCAACAGAAGAAGCACCGGCUAACUUCGUGCCAGCAGCCGCGGUAAUAC